UAGCCAGCCGUACAGAUAAGGGGGAAUUGGAAGGGAUUCAGAAAGCCUGGGAAAUAAGAAAUGAUAUCAGCUUGAAUGUUCUGUCGCGUGAUAAGAGGUUCAUCAUUCGGGCAUUUUAAGGCUUUUUUUCCAAAGGUGAUGGACAGGUGUGUCUCUUUACCUGAGGGGACUUUGUUUCUUCGGGGACAGUCCAUCCCCAGCUCCUAAUCGCCAGGCCAGAGGGAAUGAAAUGGCUUUUUAUGGUAUGGGAAAGCAGGAGCAGGCUAUUCUAUAGCUAUAUCGUUCCUGGCGUGGACGUCUGUGAGGGGUAAUGUUUUGUAAGAUUACAGAUUUGGUCUGUCUGAUUGCAUUGCACCGUAAACAAGGGAAAUGAAGAGUGGGAGAAAAAAUUAUAAUUCAAAGACAAAGAGGAUAAAGAAGAAAACCAAGCUGAUAACUGCCAGAGACCCAGCGGCACUCAUGAGAAUGACCCCGCCUUCUGUGAACACUGAAAAAUAGUGAAGACAUCAAAACUAAGAUGAUGGUGAAGACAUCAAAACUUUUCCGGUUCCGGGUUGAAGCGAGCGGUCGCAUCUACACUUCGGUCCGCAGACCAUACAAACGCUCCACACCGCGUGGCCGCGGCCACCCUAAUCUGGUGGUCCCAGCGCGCACGACCCACGUGGAGUUCCAGGUCUCCGGUAGCCUCUGGAACUGCCGAUCUGCGGCCAACAAGGCAGAGUUCAUCUCAGCCUAUGCCUCCCUCCAGUCCCUCGACUUCUUGGCACUGACGGAAACAUGGAUCACCACAGAUAACACUGCUACUCCUACUGCUCUCUCUUCGUCCGCCCACGUGUUCUCGCACACCCCGAGAGCUUCUGGUCAGCGGGGUGGUGGCACCGGGAUCCUCAUCUCUCCCAAGUGGUCAUUCUCUCUUUCUCCCCUUACCCAUCUGUCUAUCGCCUCCUUUGAAUUCCAUGCUGUCACAGUUACCAGCCCUUUCAAGCUUAACAUCCUUAUCAUUUAUCGCCCUCCA